rnacentral:rRNA from 1 species
AGAGUUUGAUCCUGGCUCAGGAUGAACGCUAGCGGCAGGCCUAAUACAUGCAAGUCGAACGGUGAUAGCAAUAUCAUAGUGGCGCACGGGUGCGUAACACGUAUGCAACCUACCUAUUAUUGGGGGAUAGCCUUUGGAAACGGAGAUUAAUACCGCAUAAUACGAUUGACUGGCAUCGGUUGAUUGUUAAAGCUUAGGCGAUAAUAGAUGGGCAUGCGUCCAAUUAGUUAGUUGGUUAGGUAACGGCUGACCAAGACGAUGAUUGGUAGGGGAUCUGAGAGGAUAAUCCCCCACACUGGCACUGAGAUACGGGCCAGACUCCUACGGGAGGCAGCAGUAGGGAAUAUUGGGCAAUGGGCGGAAGCCUGACCCAGCCAUGCCGCGUGCAGGAAGAAGGCGUUAUGCGUUGUAAACUGCUUUUUUAUAGGAAGAAGGAUCCCUUGCGAGGGAAGGUGACGGUACUAUAAGAAUAAGCACCGGCUAACUCCGUGCCAGCAGCCGCGGUAAUACGGAGGGUGCAAGCGUUGUCCGGAUUUAUUGGGUUUAAAGGGUGCGUAGGCGGUUUAUUAAGUCAGUGGUGAAAGACGGUCGCUCAACGAUUGCAGUGCCAUUGAUACUGGUAGACUUGAGUGAG